GGGAGUUGAAAGGGUAAUUAUUUUCUUAAGUUCUUCUGUCAGAAGCAGCAGCCUCAUAGAGGGGCAAGGGUUCUUUUCGGGUAGAAUAAGAGUUGGAGCACUAGGGAUUUUACAUAGAUAGAUUGAAGCCAUUGGAGGCUAUUUGGUUAAUAUUCUACGAGUUGCGAGGUUGAGGAAACUUGCCAUCAACGAGGUAAGUGAAACUUUAAGCUUUGGUGCUUGCUUUUCAAACAUGCUUUAUUAGAAAAUAUGUUUUUCUACCUAGUCUAUGUGUUGGGACAAGCAUGUGCUUGGUAGAAUCGGUGGUCUUUGAUCAACCGCGGAUAUGUAUUUUGUUAAGUAUAUUGAGGAUCAUUUAACGGUGAGUUGUAAGGUGAUGUUAGGAUAUUGGAUAUAUUUACUAGGAGCGUACUUGUGCUGUUGUAAUAUGUUAGGGGCAUAUCUAUGCUGCCGUAAUAUGUUAGGGGCCUUGUACUUGUUGUUGUGAUAUAUUUACUAGGGGCAUACAUGCGCUGUCGUAAUAUGUUAGGGGCAUACCUAUGCCACCGUAAUAAGUUAGGGGCAUUGUACUUGUUGUCGUAGUACAAUUUUGGGGCAUUAUAUAUGCUGCCGUGGACUUGUCGGGGUGCUAGGCUGAGUUGAGAUCUACAUAGUGAUUUUUGAAACAUUUGUUGGACCUUAUUGAGAAUUAUACUAUAAGAUAUAUGUUUUACAUAUCGUUUAUUUGGUCUUUGUGGUUUGUAUUUUCUAACACUUGUUCCAGGGGUAUUAAAGUAGCAGGUCGAGGAUCUUACUGGUUUAUAUUUAUAUCUAAAUCCUUACUUGCAUGUCUGCAUAUACUGUUGCGAAGGUGAGACUAGCGGUUAACGGUUCGUUCAUGAAGAUUCUCUUCAUAAGGGUUCACAGAGUAUGGUCGGAUUAGGGUGUGAUUGUCUUUGUUUCGGUUAAGGUGCGUGGAGAUGACAUUGUGGCUGGAAAAAAAAGAGCACCGUGACUUAGAAACACUUGCGCAUCAAAGGAUUGGCAUGAUAGGUAGUCUUGUGAAGAUGUCGAUCAUCAAUUCUUGUGGCAAAUAAUGCAAAAUUUUUCUCCGACAACGGAUUUGUUGAAGAUGUCAACCACCAAUUUUUGGUGAAAGUCUUGAUCAAGCUUUGGCUUGAGUGAAUGCAGAAACUGUGCACUUCUCUCCUUGAUCUUCUAUCUAAAUAUGUGGCAUGACUUUUGGAGUUACUGAGCUUCCUUCAUUUCCUGCUUUUGAGAAAGGAAAUCUUCAAUCUAUGAGAAAGGUUCAACAUCAGGUGCUUGCAUAAAAGACUGCAAUACAACUAAGCCAGCCAUUACUGAAGUCUUCUUAAAUCUCUAUUCCAAAUGUGGAUAUGAGGAUUGCAGGUGGUAUGUGCUUCAUUCUGUUAUUGGUAUGGACCUCACUGAUAUAGGUAUACUCAACUACGGACUUUGUCGUACUAGCGUCUUUCUACAUCUUCAUCAGUUUUUGUAAUUUUAACCUUUGGUUUUC